UACGGAGGAUGCGAGCGUUAUCCGGAUUUAUUGGGUUUAAAGGGUGCGUAGGCGGGCUGUUAAGUCAGCGGUCAAAUGUCGGGGCUCAACCCCGGCCCGCCGUUGAAACUGAUGUUCUUGAGUGGGCGAGAAGUAUGCGGAAUGCGUGGUGUAGCGGUGAAAUGCAUAGAUAUCACGCAGAACUCCGAUUGCGAAGGCAGCAUACCGGCGCGCAACUGACGCUCAUGCACGAAAGCGUGGGUAUCGAACAGG
rnacentral:rRNA from 1 species